UUUGAUUUAUUUAAGUGCCAAUAAUAGUGGGGGUUUUAAUUCUUAUUAAGAGAGGUUUAUUCUCCCAUUUCUAAUACACAAUCUUCCCUCUAAAAAAUUUAAAACUUCAAUUGUAAAAUUUUAUUCCCCCUAAUUCUAAAACACUAUAUGCGUAAACCCUUCCUUCCUCUAAAAUCUCUCUGAACCCUAAAAUCCCCUUCUCUCUUGCGUUUCCUCUAAAAUCUCUCUGAACCCUAAAAUUCCCUUCUCUCUUGCGUUAUGCUUUUUCCCUCGUGUUCGUUUCUUCCUUUCUUCCUUCUUCUAUUUCCUUUUCUCCUUUAUUUUUCUUAUUUUUCCUUUCGAUUGCCCAUGUUUCAUUUUUCUUUUAGAUUCACAGUCGCGAAACUGCUGGUAGACGAAGCUGCAACAGUGGUUGUGUGGACCAAGCAGACGAUGGAGCUUCCACUCAUAACGUGACAGGUCUAUUUUUCUUUAUUAAGUAUUCGGUUUUAGUUCUUUAUCAGUUUGUUGAGAGACUGGGUGAGGACGGUGAUGCAGUAGAAAUUUAAGGAUUUAUUCUUGGAGCCUGCAAAAAUCAUGAGCUGGGAAAAGUUAUUGCAGAAAAGUUGCUUAAUAUGGAAUUGGAAAAAAGGAUUACUGGUUUUGGCUUAUGAGAUUGAAAGCAUUUGGUUGAAACUGAUGAUUUGAAAGGUAUGAGGGAGUGGGAGAAUCCGAGGAUGUGCAAACAUUUUACUACUUCAUUGAGUCAAAUAACANCCCUAAGGAAGAUCCUCUCCUGCUUUGGCUAUCCGGUGGCANUGGUUGCUNAUCCCUAACUCGCCUUUUUCUUGAAAUAGGUGCGGGACAGAAUUGCUCCAGGUUUACCUUCACAAUUUCAUUCACCUUAUUCAAUUCCAACCUUCGUACCCUGUCCUUUACUUAUUCUCAAUGGUGCGAAAGAUCCCCUGGAAAUNCCAAGAGCAAAGGCANGCCUGGUAUACAGAAAGUUUCACUGUUUAGAUAAUUUCAAGGUAUGAACCUG